rnacentral:lncRNA from 1 species
UGGGCAGCACCAAGUAGCACGCUAUCCAAUCUUACCUACCAUAUUUACAAGAAUAUUAGAUAUUUGCAAAUAUGAAUGGACAGUAGAAAUAAGAGAAUUGCAACAAAAAUAAAAAAGAAUUACAUAUUGUCCAGAAUUCCUAAAUCUUAUAGUGCCUACAAAUGAGAAUAACAUUGUAUCUACUAUAAAACAAGAGUAAACAUGUGGUUUCUUAAAAUUAAUCCAAAGAAAAGUGUGUUAAAUGGAAGUCAAAUCACAAAGUGACAAAAUUCACAUCACAGUACUCCAAGUAAUAUAGCAGCAGUAGUUGAGGCCGUAUAAACCUGCCAAUGAAAUGGCAUGUCACUAACAAACAAUAUCCCCCCAUGAUGUGUAAACUUGUUGACACAUGAACAUUUGAAGUUUAUGUCAUCCGGGUCGACGAGCAGCGGCAAUGUUUAUGUUGCAACUACAUCUCAAAGGGCUGACAAAUAGUAAACGAUACUUGCUUGCCAAAUGAACUUCAAAUGGCAUGGAAACUUUCAACAAAGAAUAUGAUACAGUUUCCUGAGAGAUCGCCCACACUUAGUUUUAUUCAUUGAACAUUAAGCUAUGUAUUUGUUAUUAGAUGAAAAAUCAAAAUUUGUAAUGUAGUGGACUAUGAAACUUGAAAAUGCUUGAGAAACAAUGAAAUAAUUGAUAGGGAAGUGCAGCUUGAAAUGAUCAUGCAUCGUUUAUAUUCAUUCACGAUAUACAGAAAAGCUUUUCUAUCAUAAACCUAUUGAUCUUAUUAUCCGUGUUACUUCUGUGCAUACCAAUUUUAUAAGUUGCCCACUUGACCAGCAUAGGCUAGAGCAGAAGAGCAUCAACAACUUGCGUAAACAUUUUAAAGACAUGACUUUCAGGCAAUAUUAGACAAACACAUGUAAAUUUCUUCACAUGGCCAUCCAGUGUGUGAAUGCAAACAAGCAUCAAAUGAAAAGGGACAAUUUUUUUGAAUCUACUUCACAUCUAAUAAGCUCCAACUUACGGAAUGAAAAGAGAUAGAUGAAUCUAACAAAUUGUUCAUGUUUAUUUAAAUUGGCUCAUGAUUAUGUUACCUCAUUAACAGAGAGAGAGAGAGAGACCUUCCAUGGCGUCGGGGUCGACCCUCCUCUCCUAGUAUGCCCUUGCAGCUGCUCCAUGUCAUUACCCUCUUCCCUUCCCUUGACAAAACCCAACCAGACAUUGCUCUCGUCCCUUCUCUUCCCUUUACACAGCCCAAACAGAUUAGAUGGGAGCAAAGUUCCUGCACAAAUGAAAAGAACAGAGGUUCUGCUUCAGACUAUUGCAGUAGUAAAAUUGUCAGAAUCAAUAGAGAAAUUGAAGAUAUUGCAGCAAAAUUGUCAAAAUUAUAUCAGCCACUAAAACUCCCAGGUCUUGCAGCAGCAAGAUAGCAGAAAGAGAUGGGCCGGGAACAUAACAUAAUUUGCUCUUCCAAUAUGUCAAACCGGGAAGUGGAAAAAAAGACAGAACCGAACAAAGAGAGGAGAGGAGCAUCCAAUAUAGUAAAUAAUUUAUUCUCAUUUCUGAAUGCAAGCAAGCAGAAAAUAGCAUUCAUUAUAAGGCCCAUAAACUCAGGGGAAUGAUAAAUGAUACCAGGACAUGGUCCACCAAGAUAUGGCCACUCUAGUUGUGUAACAGUGCGAUGCAUGAUAUCAAGGACAUGAUCCAGUUCAGAUGUUAUGCACAGACUAAUAUUCAGGCAGUUAUAAUUUUACUGAAACCACACAAUAGUCCAAACCUUUAAUAGACAAAACUCUACAUCCUAGCUAAUUCAAAUCAAGAAUAGAACGAGCAGAAGAAUGGAAGGGUCUCAAGCUCAUCCUGUUCUUCUUGAGGAUAAUGGUAUCAACGUCGAUCAGGCAGGAGAUGUGCCGACUACAAUGUCCAGAUCAAAGAAAUUAGUCUGACAAUCAUAUAUGUGUGUUAAGAGGUCUAAAUGUAACAUCAAUUUCUAGCUCCCAGAGCAUUCAAAAAUCUAUUGAGAUAUGUCCCCAUGUGAUAAAAGGACUGCCUCUCAACUAUGAAAAAGACAAUCAUAAAAUUUAUUCAAUUUCAUAGCAGGUCUAUUAUUUGGAUUUAACAUUAUGCCUUAAAUAUAAUGCAAGAGUACAAUUGUCCAGUUCAUUCGUGUCUAUGGCAGCUUCAAUUGGCACUGCAAACAUUACCCGUUUUAAUAUUUAUCUUUGUUAAUGUGAGCAACUGAGCUACGUUCCGAACUGUUCUAAAAAGUAGAUGGUUAAUCCAAUGUAUUCUGUUUGUACAUCAACAUUUGACACGCCCAACUCGCUGUAUAUGUCAUUUACCGGAUGUUGAAAUUAAAGUUUGUAUCUUUGUUCUGACGCUAUACUUGAAAUCUUUAUGUUUUCAAGAAAUAAUCUAUUACACUUCUACAAAGGAAUGAAAAUGUACAAUUCUGUUUGCGGACAUGCUUCUUCUACUUCUAUUUAAGGAUUGCAUUUACUAUUAUUUUAGAAGAUAACACCGACCAAAUAUCUGAGAAUCCAUUAGUACGUACAUGAUAAUUAAAAUGUAAAUAUUCAGACCAAAACAUCAGAUCAAAGGAGAUUAUAUUCACUUAAACUUGACUGAAAUUAAAUUGGAAAAAGCCAUGUAGUACAAGACGACAACAACAACAGACAUGUAGUGCUAGCUUCCAAGGAUUCAUUUCAGUACAUGAAGAAUUAAGGGGCAGUUUUGUUCAAAAUAACAAUUAAGGAGUGGCCGUUUACAUACUGAUGUACGCAUACAAAUGGACAACCAAGGAGCGCCAUAUACUGCAAGUGCCAUUCACAUCCAGACGCAUACAGACUGAAUACAAACUGAACCAAUGUACCAAACCAAGGUGCUUAUCCAUAUGUAUGUAUGUAACAGAUGCUAGUGCCAUCCAGAUUUGGGGGUAGAGAGAAGGGAAGCUCACCACGUCCACGUUUCAAGUGUCGCGUACAGGAGGAGGCGAAUCCAUGAGCGUGAGGAUGAGCUAGACAACGCC